UUUUAUAAGAUAUAAUUUAUUUUGUUAUAAAAUUUUUAUUUUAUUAAAAAAUUAUAUGAAAUUUAUUGAUUGUUAAUUUAUUCUUAAUGAAAUUUAAUAUUUCUCAGUAAUUAAUAUUAAAUAAUUAAAGAAAUUUAGAUUUAAUUAUUAAUUUAAGUAUAAACAAAUAAUGUGCCAGCAGUUGCGGUUAAACAUUAUAUACAAAUAAAAUUUUUUAGUUAAUAGUAAUAAUUAUAUAUUUUAAUUAAUUUUUUAAUUUAAGGUAAAAUUUAAUUUAUAAUUUUAUUAAAAUUAUUAGUUUCUAUUAAAUUUUACUUAAAACUAGGAUUAGAUACCCUAUUAUAAAAAUUUAAAUAUAAUUACUAGAAAAUUAAUAGUUAAAUUCUUUAAAUUUAAAAAAUUUGGCGGUAUUUUAUUCUUAUUAGAGGAAUCUGUUCUUUAAUUGAUAAUCCACGAUUUAUUUUACUUAUUUUUUUUAAUUCAUAUAUCGCUGUCAUGAAUAUAUUAAAAAAUUUAUUUUCUUUAAUUAAUAUUAUAAUUUAUGUUAAGUCAAGAUGUGGUUUAUAAAUAAGAGAGUAAUGGAUCACAUUAAACUUAAUUUUUGGAUUUUAAAUGUAAAAUAAAAUUAAAUUGGAUUUAAUAGUAAAUUUAUUUAUUUAAAUAAAAUGAAUAUAGAUCUAAAAUAUGUACAUAUUCCCCGUCAUUCUUAUUAAAAAUAAGACAAGUCGUAACAAAGUAAAUGUACUGGAAAGUGUAUUUAGAAUGA
rnacentral:ncRNA from 1 species